GACGAACGCUGGCGGCGUGCUUAACACAUGCAAGUCGAACGGAAAGGCCCUGCAUUUGUGGGGUGUUCGAGUGGCGAACGGGUGAGUAACACGUGAGUAACCUGCCCUUGACUUUGGGAUAACUUCAGGAAACUGGGGCUAAUACCGCAUAGGAGCUCCUGCUGCAUGGUGGGGGUUGGAAAGUUUCGGCGGUUGGGGAUGGACUCGCGGCUUAUCAGCUUGUUGGUGGGGUAGUGGCUUACCAAGGCUUUGACGGGUAGCCGGCCUGAGAGGGUGACCGGCCACAUUGGGACUGAGGUACGGCCCAGACUCCUACGGGAGGCAGCAGUGGGAAAUAUUGCGCAAUGGGCGGAAGCCUGAUGCAGCAACGCCGCGUGCGGGAUGACGGCCUUCGGGUUGUAAACCGCUUUCGCCUGUGACGAAGCGUGAGUGACGGUAAUGGGUAAAGAAGCACCGGCUAACUACGUG
rnacentral:rRNA from 1 species